rnacentral:tRNA from 1 species
GGGCGGAUGGCGGAACUGGCAGACGCGCUAGAUUUAGGAUCUAGUGGGGCAACCCGUGGAGGUUCGAGUCCUCUUCCGCCCACCA